rnacentral:piRNA from 1 species
UGACAUGAGAGUGCAUGUGUGGGUGGACU